UCCUCGUACGCAUCUGGUUGGGGUGUGAGGUUGGUGAGAGUGUGGGCUGUUUGUGUCCUCAUACGCGUCUGGUUGGGGUGUGAGGUUGGUGAGGGUGGGUGGUUUGUGUCCUUGUACGUGUCUGGUGGGGGUGUGAGGUUGGUGACGGUGAGCAGUUUGUGUCUUUGUAUGCGUCUGGUGGGGGUGUGAGGUUGGUGAGGGUGGGCUGUUUGUGUCCUCGUACGUGUCUGGGGUGGGUGUUAGGUUGGUGAGGGUGGACGGUUGGUGUCCUUGUAUGCGUCUGGUGGGGGGUGUGUAGUUGGCAAGGGUGUGGGCAGUUGGUGCCCCUUAAGCACCUGGUAGGCCUGUGAGGUGCUGCAUCUGCUGUGAGUGGCCGGUGAGUCUUAAAGGUUAGGCGGUCACUGGAUGACCCAGCAAUCCCCCUGCUAAGUGUGCACCCAAGAGAAUUAAUAGGGUGUUUGCGUGAACACCCAUGUUUCAUUAUUCAUAGCAGCAUUGCUUGUAGUAGCCAAGAGAUGGGGCCAACCCAAAUGCCCCUCAGCUGUGAAUAGGUAAGGACAUCAUAGGGAUAAACACAUUGUUUCUGCUUUGCCUGGAAUGGUGACCAAUACACAGUGGGUGCUUGAGGUGAGCGUGGAUUUCCAGUUCCAUAAGAGACCUGUGGCUAGUAUGGGAGCUGCAGUCAUGAACAGCGUAGUCAUUGUCAGACUGAGCGAGACUGUCGUUGAAUUCUCGCUCAUCACUGACUGCUGGCCCAGGCCACCUCGUCUGUGAAAGACAUGAUAAUAUCCUAGGCUUGGGUGGUGGUAAACAUUAAACCUGAUGGAGCGUGUUCAAGAAAUGAUGCCAACAACGUAAGGUCAUCAUUUUGCCCAGCAUGUAGCGGGUUUUUACUCGACAAGGCCACAGAGUCGCAGGCCCUUCACCUGGAGGGUUGGGAGCACCCUCCUGCUCCUGUGCUUAGCCCUGUAUUUGUCAUGGCUCCUUCCUUUUUCUCCUCCACGUCCAAGGACGGCUCCACUGGCUUUCAGUGUUAACUGGGGCCUGAUAAUCACGGGGUUCCAGGAGAUGUUCAGAGGUGGAAGGCAAGUUCCGAGUGAGGUUCUCUAAGGCAGAGAUCCAGCUGAUGGUAGAUGACCCAUUGAGUAGUCAUCUGGUGUCCGGCGGCAGUGGCGGCCAUGAUAGCAGCUCAGGAAGUGGGUCUUCUGGGCUGGGGCUCUGCACUGAGCUGGGUUUCCUGCCUGUAAUCUGCUCUCCAGCAGACAGGCCUGCCAGAGCCUGGGACCCCUGCAAGCACAGGCACUGCUCCCUUGUCCCUGGCAUGUCUGCGUGGGCACAGGGCCUUCUCUGGCAUCACCCUGCCUGGGCAGCCCCACUUGCUGGCUCUGCCUCCUGUGCCGUGCUCCACUCCCAACAAGUGAAGGUCACAGCCCUCAGCCUUCCUGGUCUCCUGCUGUCCAUGGCCGUCUCUGUGGCGGGUCCGGCCACGCUUGUGGACCGGCUCCUUCUGUCCCCCCUGGACUUUGAGGAAAUGAAAUCGAUAUUCACAACCACGGCAGUCCUUUCUUUUUCUACACAUACUCAGAAACUUCCACAGUGUUUCCUGAAUUCUUUUGACCCAAAUCAUCCAGAUCCUGUGUAGUGUCCACCACACACCCUGCCGGCACCACUAUAUCAGAAUGCUUUUCAGGUGUCCGGAGAAAGCCACUUGUUAACUGAUGGCAAGAAAUGGAGUGGUGGCAUAGAUGUGAGCAUCCUCCUUCUCUGAGCUGGAUGCAUGUGGAAAACCAGACCUUGCUAGGAUGGGAGGGUGUUUGAUACCCAGCCCCUGACCCCGCUUUCCCAGUGCCUUCCUGCCCACACUCCUCCCCACCCCAGAGUCUGAUCAUGCUGGAGUUACUGGGAGCACCCCGCAGCCAGCUCAAAGGAUACAGACACUGGUUGGCCUGGCAGACACUCACAGUGACCAGUCAGAAGGUCCUGGAGAUGGAACGGGCUCUCCUGCAGUGUCAGGAACAGAUCUGUUUCUUCCCACGUGCUUUUCCUUGAAGAACUGGGAGGAGGAAAUGUUGGUCUUCUUGAUGCACAGCCUGCUGCCGUCAGUGGUGGAGGCCAGGUUUGAACCCAGGUCUCCCAGGUCUUGCUGGCGUCCGUUGCUGCUGCCUCUUCCAUCUCAGCCGCAGGGGAUACCAUGUGGUCUGUUACGUUUGGAGUCUCCUGACAGCCUGUCCUGCGCUGGCCUCCACCCACAGACCCACCUUGCAGGCCUCUCUGCUGAUUCACCUGCCCCAGUGCUGAGAGCCAUGUCCCAAGCCUGGGGGCACUCACCCCACACCUCCUCUCCACAUUGUGUAAGCUGAGAAGUGCUCAGUGAUUCCAACAAGCACUAACCCUGCCUUUUAAAGGUCAUUCCUGUCUUUGUCAGUUCUUAAAGUUCAAGAGGAAAUAAACUGCUUAGAGCUGGCAUUUCUCAAGUCAAGAGUCAGCCCUCCAAGCCCCCCGCCCGGCUCGGAGGAAGCAAGGUUCAUAAAUGAGCUGCCGGAUGACUCAGUGACGGGCGAGUGGGUGCCUCCCUCUCUCCAGCUCCUGCUAGAAAGGAAUGAAAGGGAAACUAAUAAUUCCUAAAAUCUCAUUUUCUCCUUUCAGUUUUGUUAGUCAGCAUGGGGAAUGCUUUGGAGAUGUUUCUUUAUUGGUCAAGUGACAGCAUUUAGAGGCUGUCAGCCCUGGUUACCCAGGAUGUCACGCACAGGGGCUCUUACAUCAUGGGGCCUGUGCCACAUGUUUCUGAUUGAUGGAGCAGGGGAACUCUCCCUACAGUGGAGACAAUGGAGGCCCCAUGAAGGUGCCACACCUAAUAGGUUAUUGACUUCCUGUGCUUUGGGUCGAGGACAGCAAAAUCAAUGUGAAAAUAAACAGGCCAAAUAGGCUUCAUUACCCAGGUAGCGCCGAAGCAGCUGGAGGGGUCAUGUGACACACAGGUGUGGGCGGAGGCUGGGCCCAGUGCUGGUGGCUGGGCUCUGCUUGGCGGGCUCUAUCGAUUGUCAUGGGCACUGGAGCCUCAGCUUCAGAGCUGUUAAUUGGGCUGUUGGGUGAUUCCAAAGAGAGAGGCCACAGAGAUCACUUUGUUUCUUCUCUUAACUGCUUGUCCAAUUUGGUGGUACAAGCCUCAAUUAAACGCGGUGUGCGGACCCCUCGAUCCUCAGAGCUCUGUCUCCUCAGCCUGGUCCUUCCACUUGGCCUGCUGCUCUCUGGAGUGCUGCACUCCCAUGCCAGACCUGCUGGCAGCCAGAGCCCAGCUAUGUGCUCACGGCUCCAAUUCACCGGCCAUGUGGUGCUGAAGUCACGGCUCUAACAGCAGCUCCGUCUGAGCUCCCCAGGACUGGCUCCCUUCCCUCCGUCUCACUUUCUCCCCACUGCACCCUCUCCUUUUCUCCCCCUUCCCUUCUGCGCUCUGUCUCACACAUGGCCCCAUGGUCCCCACUCUCGUUCCCUUCUCUCCCUCCUUAUGGUUUCCCAUGCACACACACCCCUCACACUCACACAUGGCCUCCUGGUCCCCCUGCCCUCCCUCUCCUGCCUCCUUUCCCUUUCUUUCGCAUCUCCUGUACAGGUGUUCCUGGGGGCUUGUUCCUCUGUUCUUUAUUCCUUGGUCUCUGCUUUUCCUUCUUCUGUAAGUUCCUGUGCUUUGACAUCUUUUCUUGUCACUUCAGUUUGGCCAGACUCUCUGAGGCUCUAUCUUUGGCUGCGACCUCUCUCUAAUCUCCGUGAUCAAUUUUCAUCUGCCCCUGGAAGCUGCCACCUUCUGUUAUUGUGCCAGACCUUGGGGCCAUGUCAGAUGUGCCCUGCUCUUUCCCCAGGGGUCCCCGCUAUCUCUGUUGGCCAUUCAACUGAAGGCCCAGUCUCCCCACUUUGACGGCAGAUGUCUCUCCCGUUUUCCCUCCAGCUGGGCCAGGCGGCCUUCCCCCACUAACUUGUGCUCCAGCUUCUCUCCCUCACACUUAGCUCCUGUGCCUCCCCAGCCUGUGCCGUUGCGUUCUGCCGGCCAUGGGGGCUGGAACAGUGAUGUCAGACCCCUGUGCGGGGGACAGAGCCCCUGACAGAUAAGACCUGGGGCCUGCUGGCUUGGUGAGGAAGUGAAGGGGCGCAUGAUAGUGCCCUGGGCCACAGUGGCACGGGGAGUGCCCCCCCCCCGCCUCCUGUGUAGGGUGAUCCGGCCCAAUGUGGGGAUUUUUGGCAGGCCCCUGAGGCCCACAAUCCUUCCACAGGUUGGUUUCCUCCAGCCUGAUAUUUGUCCUGAGGUUUCCUGGGUUGCAUGAUGGUGUUCUGGAAAUUUGAGAAGUGUGGUGGAGUGGGACUGCUAAGUGGAUGCUCUGAUUUUCGUUCCUUUGCUCCUCUGUUUGGGGGAACUUGAUGGACUUUUGCUAGAACCUGUGGUCCAGAUGAGGAAGGUUCAAGGAGCCCAGUGUGGUGACCCUGGCUCCAAGAGGUCCCUCUGCCCACAGGUACCUUUCCAGCACCAGCCCAGAGUCCCCCUGUCCAGCUUGUCUGUCCGUAUCCUCUUUCUGAGGACCCUUCCCAUUGGCUCUGCCACUCUCACCCCGUGGCAUCCCCAGCCCUGUCCUCCGCACCUGGCCUGGCUCAAGGACUGUCGCAGCAGCUCUCUCCUCUCUCCCUGGGCUCAGUCAUCUUCUCACCCUCCAUGAAUGGGGAGCCAGGGGAGAGAGGGGGUAUGGAGUCUGGACCUUGGGUGUCCAGGAGGCAGCUGAGGGUUAGUAAGGCCUCUGUAACGUCGCAAAGUGCAGGCCACGUCCCAGUGGCAUUGCCUGUGAACCAGGUCCCUUGGAAUGCCACUUUCCCUGGCAUCCAUGUCCAUAACCGAGAAGUGAGGUGAAAAUGUCUCCCUCCCUGGAAGGGCGGUUCAGGGUGUGUUUGAAGAAAUGACAGUUCCCCUUGCCCAGCCACACACAUCUUCAGUGGGAAAAUCAGGCUGCGCUUUGAGUGAGCCUCCACACCUCCUCUUUGCAUGGGGCUCUAUGCAGCCAACAGCAGGGCUGCUGUGGGAGCUGGAGGUUUCCAGUGCACAGGGACGGACUUGGCGUCAGAGCCCAGCGCUGCUCUUUGAGUCCUGCUCCCAUUUGGAAGUGAGCGAUCCCAGAAUCCCUGGCUUCUUACCAGAGGCCUUAGAUUGUAGGGGAGGCGCCCUGCACGUGAGGGUCUGUGGAUUUAGUAGGAGGGUUGUUAUUACUGUUUUUGUCGUGGAAUCUGUGCAUCUGCAGUCCCUGAGGCUGGGGGCUGGCAGGAGCUUGCUCUCUUGGUUGGGGAGAAACGCAGUUGCCCGGCCUCAGUUGGGUGUAAAGUCAUGUCUUAGUUACCUGCGCCUCCCCCCACCAGUGUUUCUAAACCUCAUGUCUGUGGUGCAGGGUAGUGGUUGGUAACCUUUCUCUGUAAAGAGAAAUAUUUUUGACUUUUUGAGGCACAGUCUCUGUCACAGGAAAGUAGCUGCAGGCCGUAUGUCAACGAAAGGAUAUGGCUUUGUUCCAGGAAAACUUUGCUUACAAACCUAGGUGGUGGUCUGUUUGCUUAGGGGCAGUGCAGAGAAGUGCCCCGCCUCGAGGCUGGCUGGCCCACCCACCUGCUGCCUGCCUGCUGGCCAUGUCACCCCUUGGGGCUUCUGUUGCCUGCAUUAGGUGGGCAGGGAGCCAGCACUGACUGGGCUGACGAUGCGGAUGGUCUCCUUCUCCCCGACCUCAACAUGGGGAGGCAGUGGAUGUCUCCAGGACGCCUGCUUUGCCUCUCUGCGUCACUCCAGGCACUGGAUUAUCUUCUGUGUCUCCUCUUUUUUCUGAAAGUCAGAGCUGGAGGGCAAAGAACAGUUGUACAAUAAAGCCUGGGGAGGUGACUUGCCCUCUGGUCUCUGCCAUUCUCAUUUCCUAAACUCCAACAGCCUGGGGUAGAGGUGAAUUGAUGGUCUCCCUGCGGCCACCCUUGCCAGAGCUCCCCACCCCUCAUUUGGAGGCAGCCCUACCAAGGCGAUUACAGGUUGGUAACUGAUCAGCUAAAUUGGAUUAUUCAUUAUGGUUGGGAUUGAAUUGAAAUUGCACAGGGCAAUUUUCCUUCUCACAUUUCAAGGUCAGAUGAGAGUAUUUACAGUAUGGCCUCUGUUUAUCUGGGAAUGCAGAUUGAAUUUGGUGAUUCGAAUGGCUGAGAUGUUGGGAACCGGGAGCUCAUCAGAGGUAGUUGGGGCAGAGCGACCAGGAGGCCAGCCUGCAGCUUCAGAGCCUGCUCCCCUGGCCAUUUCUUUGAUUGGUAAUUAUUUCAGCCUUUGCUCUUAUUCUCUGGUUUUGUUUCCACUGUUUGGAUUAUUUUUUUCAGAAAAAUGUGUAAUGACACUUGGAGAUAUUUAAGAUUGGAAUUAGAUGGCAUAAAUAACGACAGCUGCAUGCUAUGCUGAGCCCCACGUCUUGGGGUGCCGGGGAGGAGAGCACUGCUCCCUUUCGGAGACCUGGCCCCUCUGGGUCUGAACCUACUCACUAAGGAAACAAGUGCCCACCUGUGCCAUUGAGUGAAGGCUGCAUGCCCUCGACCUCAUCACGGUGUAGGGGCUGAGUUGGCCCUGUGGGCUUGAACUGGAGGCCUCAGUGAGGCAUGGCACCUCUGAGCCCCUGCUUCUGCAGGGACGUGGGGACUGGGGGCAGCGCUACUGCUUUCCUGCCAGAUUCCUGUAGAGACUAAACGAGGUCACGUACCCAGGAGCACCCCCUGUAGCCAAAAGCUGCUCGGAUGAGAGCAAGAAGCUGCUCAGGAGGCUGGCCUCUGAGUUCAGACAUGAGAGGGACCCUGGCCCAUGGCCUCCUCUGCUUUCUUCUUUAGUCCCAGGUAGAUGAGAAGCAUAAACCCUGAUCUGAAUCUCCAGCAGCUUCUGAUCAGGGAGCCUCUCCUGGCUCACCUUGGAGGCCCCAUGAACGCGGGGCAAGGGGAGAACUGGGACCUGUUGAUGCUCCUGUGCUUUGCAAUGGAUGCACACAUCUGAUGGAAUCCUCCCCGGCCCAUUAGCAGCGAGCGGCACAGUGGCCUCGGUUCCAUCCAAGACAAAGGAGAAGGUCAGAGGUGGAUGGAAGGCUCAGAGCAUCUUGAUAGUAGGGUGCUAUGGCGGCUUUUGUGGGUGGGUGGGACCCUCUGAACCCCCUGGAUCCCAGGGUCACAUUUCCCUGCAUCUCCGCAGAGGCAGGUAUUGAUUUCCCACUCUCAGGAGACUCCUCAGAUACACAGAGGGCCUGUAUCUGCUGUGCUGGCCUCCAGGCCAGAGCUGGAGGCUUUGAUGGCAGAGAUGGCCCACUCUGUGGUGAGUGGGGGCCCUUCCCUGGUAUUCCCUGUUGGCAGGGAGUGGAUGUGGAUGCCAGACCACGUGCAUUGUUGCUUCUGCCCUGUCUGGGAACCCUGGCCUUCCAGCAGAGAAUUUCUGAAACCAGUUGUUCUCCAUCUAAAAUUUUGUCUCUUGAUCCAGGCUGCUGCGAGGUUUCCUGACGGGUGUCUGUGAAUGUGGCUCUGUGUACCGUUCUUGUGACCGGAGGACGAGCACAUGCGGUUUGGGAGGUUGUCCUGGCAAGCGAGAUCCUCUUUUAGAACGUGUGGAUGCUUCCAGAGCAGAGCAGGACAGGCUGUCUGCCGGGACUGGAGCCUGUCCUCUGUUCCCUGCCUGCCUGCUGGGUCCUCACCUCCUGCUCCCAAGUGCCUCCUGCAGAAAGGCACUGCUUUUUGCCUUGUGUGCCUGCUCCCAGCCACCUGCUGGGUCGCACCCUGCCUCCUGACAGCUGGCUCGUCCAAGCUCCUGCACUUGAUUCUCUUCCUGAGAGACACAUGGAGCACGUCAUCUGUGUGGUGGUGGUGUUGCUUGGCCUGACUGGGGCGUCUUCCCCUGGCCCUGUGGGGGUACUCAAGUCAUGACCCUGGAGACCCUGGAGGUCAUGUACAGUGGUGUCGUGGGGAACAUGGUAGUCUCAUGCUCAUGACUCAGUCACUCGAGGCUUGAAUUUACUCAUCUAUAAAAUUGAGAAGAUUAAAAGUCAUACGUGUGGAUGGGUCUUUAUGUUCCUCAGAUAUCUAAAAAUAAAGGUGCUUUUAGGGAUUUUGCCAAGGUUCGAAUAAAGUUUUAUUAAUGUUUUCCUAGUUUCAUGCCAAGUGUCAUCACUGAAGAUCGCUGGGCACACAGCUGUGUUUACAUAUUAAUCCUUAAGGCCAUUAGCAAGCUCACCAUGCUGUAACCGUGUCUUGGGCUCACUAUGCUGUGGGCUCACCGUAUCGUAACCGUGUCUGGGGCUCACUGUGCUUUGGGCUCACCUUGCCGUAACCAUGUUUGGGACUCACUGUGCCAUGGGCUCACCGUGCUGUAACUGUGUCUGGGACUCACUGUGCCAUAACCGUGUCUGGGGCUCACUGUGCCACGGGCUCACUGUACUGUAACUGUGUCUCGGUAUCACUGUGCCGUGGGCUCACUGUGCCAUGGGCUCACCGUCCUGUAACUGUGUCUGGGACUCACUGUGCCACAGGCUCACCAUGCUGUAACUGUGUCUUGGACUCACUGUGCGUAACCGUGUCUGGCGCUCACUGUGCCACCGGCUCACCGUGCUGUAAUCGUGUCUUGGGCCUACUUGGGCCUCGGGCUCACCGUACCAUAACCAUGUCUCGGGCUCACUGUGCUGCGGGCUCACCAUGCUAUAACUGUGUCUCGGGCUUACCGUGCCAUGGUCUUACCAUGCCAUAACUGUGUCUCAGGCUAAUUGUGCCAUGGGCUAACCAUGUCACGGUGAACAGUCAGGGCAGUCAUCAGCAAGGGAGCCUUGGUGUGAUCCCGUGCCCGUGUGUCAACAGUGUGUCUGGGUGUCACAGAUUAGGAGGCCAUCUCUGUUUGGGUUGGCAUAACAAAGUACCAUAGACGGGGAUCUGAACAGCCUGUUUCUCACGGCUGUGGGGCUGAGGAGUCCAGGAUGGCAGGGUGGGGUCUGAGGAGGACUAUCUCCCUGGUUUGUAGAUGGCCAGCUCCUAUCCUCACAGGGUAGAGGGAGAGGAUGCUGGCUCCUUCGUGCUGCCCGGAAGACAUGCAUCCCAUCAGGUGCACCCCGCCCUCAGGACUGAAUCCCCUCUCUGGGGUUCCCCUUUGGUCACCAUCACAUUGGGGAUCCGGGUUUCCGCAGGUGAACUUGGGAGGACACAGGCAUUCUGUGUGCCACCCAGAACAUGCUGGUUUUGCCCUGGGCCCGGGCAUGGCUCUGGUGGCAUCUUCAUACCCUGUAGAUCCACAUGCCAGGCACCACUCGGCCUUGUGACAGGUGGGAACGCCCUCCUUGCUCCAUCCCAAGGGUCAAAUCAGGACCCUAGAGCACACAACUGUUUCGUGUAGGACCUUAGCACCACCUGUCCUGGCCUUUCUCAGAGCCCUCCUCUUGCGGUGGCCACACCACAGGCUCCUGUGUUCCUGGGCCCUGUGGUUUCUGGGGAGAGACCAGGGAUGCCUGUUUGUGCAGUGCCUGCCCUUGCCUUGGUGGGUGCUCAGAGUGGGCUAGGACUUAGGAGAAAGUAGAUGAGGAGCAUGUGGGAGGAAGGGGUUGUGUGCAGAAGAGCCGGCUCAGCAGUGUCUUGAAGAAGGUCAUUAAAAUGUCUCCUGCCGCUUCGGAAUGCCUUGUGUCCUCUAGUUGUUCCUUGAAAGUAGGUAUUCUUAGGCUGUGAGUUUCUGAUGAAGAUCACAUUAAAGUGGACUGCAGUGGCUGGUCACAGCACAGAGAUGGAGCCUCAAAAGCUCAGACCUUGUUCUUUGAGUAGAGGCUGGCUUAGAGAGGCAUUGAUCGAUAAACAUGCCUGACUUCUCCUUUAGGAACUAAGAACUUCGUUCUCAACUCCCAGAGGCUCACGGAAAUGCCAGUGACCUCAGAGUUCAGUCCAAGCAUGGAACUAGAGGCUUAAUUUUUUAUGAGUUUUCUCUUUUGUACCUCAGAGAAAAGGCUGGGAUUGAACAGAGAGAACAUCCCCAACAGGGGAGGGCCUGCUGUCCAGGGUGCCACUGUGGCUCGCCAUGCUGGGGUCCCAUGGCUCUGAGGGGUUGGAGGCAGAGCCCGUCUUGAUGGAGCACCUCUACCUGCACGCCAGGGUGGGCAGCGCCACUUGUGGGAAGUAUCUGAAAAGUUUGGGGGCCUUUAGGCUGCACUCUGGGGCCGUCCACUUUGUGCCAGCCCUUCCUGAAACUCCAGGGCAUGGCUCCUAAUUGCCACUUCCUUGGGUCCUCAGGACUGGGCCACCUCUGCUGGACCUUCCCCUCCCCUUGAGAUGCCGGCACCUCAUGGACACACGUUGGCCUGCUCCUUACCCUCCGCCCCUCUGGCUCAGCCCGCUCUCCACAUGCCACACGAGUUUCCAGCCCUGUAUGGGAGCCCUUCCCGGUUUGUUCUUCCUCUUCUGACCUUGCCAGUUACCCCUGGCUGUCCCAACCGCAGGCCCACUGGGCUGGCCAUAGGCACACCAGCUGCCCGCUGGAAACAGCCCCGGCUCUGACAUCACCUGUCUCAGACUGUCUCACCACCCCUCCCUGAGGGCCCUUCCAGCCUCCUGUUCCCCCUCCAGUGUCAGGAGGCACCUGCUUGGUUGUUUGCUGAUGGCCUGUCUUCUGCCCGCCGCAGUUAUGGAAUCAUCACCUCGCAGCUCCGCAGUUCCUUCUCCGAGCACUACUUUGCAGGGCUGAGGACUGCAGCCCACACUUGUGCUUGGUGAGCAGGCACCCGCAUCAGGGCCUGCCCUGGGGGUGCUGGAGAGGGCCCUGGGACCAGUCUGCAGGUUGAGGGGGCAGCUCUUCAGCCACUGGUUUUGCUCCCUCCUGGCAGCCCACCAGCCUGCAGAUUCUAUAGCGCCCAGAGAUUACAGCUUCAUGGGCUGCUGCCCUGUUCUCAGAGGCCUGGGUCCAGGCCCUCCAGGGCCCUCAUGCAGACACCAGCACAGCCUCCCCUCAGCCAUCUCAGUUUCCUUUCCACCGGGCUCAUCUCUAAGCAUCUACGUUUUCAUGAUGUCAGCCUCUGCCCUGUGUUCCCACAGCCCAAGGGAUGGGAGCUGCUUCCUGAAGUCACUGCACCCUUGGUGUCUGAGGGUCCUCCUCUUCCUCAGUUACCUUGGUACCUGCACCCCCGUGAGAUUGUCUGCUCAUCCCACAUGUGUGGCUUCUUUGUCUGAGAUUCCCAUCCCAGUAGAAUGGAAGGAGGCCCAGUGAGACCAGGCUGGCUGUGGUGUUCGAUGCCGCUGUCUCUGGUGGCUGGAAUGGUGUGUGGCUGCCCUCAUCCACAACCCAUAUGCUGAACGGAGUGGGCAGACUCACCUGCCAGUGAGGUGUUGAGUGGCGAACGUCCUGGACCCGGCUCUUGGUGAGCAUUCUGCAGUGUCAUCUCCUUGUCACACCUUGGUGUUGGAGUUUUAUAGUCCACUUGUUGGUGCUGGAGUCUUAUGGUCCAGUUGUUGGUGCCGGAGUCUUACAGUCCAGUUAUUGGUGCCAGAGUCUUACAGCCCAGUUGUUGGUGUCAGAGUCUUACGGUCCAGUUCUUGGUGUUGGAGUUUUACAGUCUAGUUCUGUGGUUUAGAAGACUUGGGUGUUGGUUAACUAUGAGGCCUUGUGGAUGUGGCCCAGAUGAUGUGGGCCCAAGUGCCUACAGCUGGACGGUCCUGGAGUGGGUGUGUCUCUGCCACCCAUGCCAUCCCUCAGCUGGGAACGUGUGUUGCUCUGGUUCAUCUCUCCUGUGUCCCUUCAUGAUGUGGAUUUCACUGCCGGGGAGGAGAUGUUUGCUUCACAACCUGGCCAAUGAGUUUUUCUAGCCUGGGCUUAGCUCCACACCACUUAUGGCUCUGUCUUCCCUCUGGGUGCUGUGGAACACACGCUUCAGGACGUCCUGUAGCUGCUGCAUUUUCCCAGCCUCUUAGACCAGGCCUGUAAUGGAGUCCAGGUUCAGCUGCUUGCUGCUUGAAAGCCAGACACAAGAGGUGAGAGUGGUGUGGAGAAAAUCAGAUGAACUUGGAGAGCAAGCAGAUCAGAAAGAUGGUGACCUUCAGUCACAAAGACCAUCUGAAGUCAGUACACAUUUCAGGCUCUUCUUAUGCUAAGGGUAGGGGCAAGAGGAGGGUUUGAGACCAGGAGGUGACCGAUGACCACAAACAUCAGGGUGCCAGUGAGGGUCCGAGGAGGUUGGGAACUUCUCUGCCCUUGGCCAGGGCUCAGUGCUCCUACAAAUCUUUAACAAAGCCUAGUUAGCUGUUUAUACACUUGCCCUUUCAUCUCAACCUUAGUUUGGAAAACUACUUGAUUGCUGUUUUUGCAUUAUGACCUCAGUAUUCGAAAAGCUAGGAGUGGGUAAAGACCCCUUAAGCAAUAGUGGAGGGAUGUGCUAAUUCUGCUGAGUUGCUGUUGCAGGCUGGGGGCCGAGCUUGGGGCACCUCAGUGCCUGCUGCCUGCUUCACGGAGGUGGCCUAGGUGGCAGAGAGCGGGUUGGAAGCCACUCAGUUCACAUCCGGUUCCCGGAGGCUGGUCUUGGCACAUGGCUGUAUUUUGCCGAGCCCUGGUCCUCAAGCUCCGGAAGCCUGGGCUCUGAAGCAGGACAGCUGCUGUCCUGUGGCCAUGUGUGACUCACAUCUGCUCUCAAUGGGGAGGACUCCAGCCCCACAUGUGCCUCCACACAGAUGUGAGCGCACCCUCACUCAAGAUGCAGGGUGUGAGUUUCUUGGGCUCCCUUCAAGGCUGCCCAUCAUCCUGUGCUGAGGGCGCUUCCCAGUGUAGCCCCUCACCCCUCUGCCUUGCCAGACACCUGUGCUGUGCCCAUCACCUGAAAGAUGGCUCAUUCUUGCCUUUGCACACCCUGGCUUUAAAGCAGAGGGCAGGAAACGGUGGUAUUCUUCUAAUUAAAUGACCACACAGAGCUGUGAUUUAAAGCACUCGUGAACUUUUGCACCUCAAUUCAGUGAUUCAAGAGGAGAUUUUAUAGCCCUUGACUAUUGAAUUGGCCCAUGAAUAGUUUAAAAUGGAACUGGAGCUAAAAAUAGCCUCAUAAUAUAUGCUUCCUGUGAGCUCUGUGCCCGUUUUUAAUUGUAUUUUGCAUUUUUGGUUAUGGAGUGCCUGGAGGGGCAGUGGGCCCUGGCCAGUGCUGCACCCGGAGUCAGUGUCUGCAUGGCUGUCCAUGGCGGCUGAUACGAUAGGAAAGACUCAGAAUGGUUUCCUCUGACCAGAGAAGACUGACUGGCCGUGGGGCAUUUCCCCACCCACCAAGCAAGUAGUCCGUUCUGCCUGGGACACCAGCCAGGUGUCCCCUCACUCAGUUCCGUUCUGAUACUGUCUACCUGGAGGUGGCGUCAGACCCCUGAGGCGAGGGCUCCGUCCCCAGCUCUGGUGCCAGUUGCAAGCCACAGGUGUGCCUUUGACUGGCUGGCUGUAAAUUGGGGUUCCUACCACCCAGUUGAGAUUCCCCCUGGGUUUGAUUAGUCUGCUAGUGUCUCAUAGAACUCAAGGAAACUUGUGUUUACCAGUUUAUAUGUAUAAAUAACCCAGGUUGCUGCAAAGGACACAGCUGAAUAGAUGAGCAUGGCGAGGAGUAGGGGAAGGACGUGGAGCUUCCACAUCCUCCCCGGGCCACCACUCUCCCGGAACACCAGAAGCUCUCCCCGCUCAGUCCUUUUGAGUUUUUAUAGAGGUCUUGUUAUGUGGGCAUAGUUGACUACUGCUGGUCGUCGGUGAGCUACUCAGCCUUCAGCUGCUCUCCUUCCCCGAGCUUGGAGGUGGGGCUGAAGUCCCCAGCCUCUAGUCCAGCCUUGGUCUUCCUGGUGACCAGCCCUGUCCUGCAGCUGCCCAGGGGCUACAGCCACAGUUGGUCACUGGCAAAUGGAAGACCUCACUCGGGAGAGUCCAAGGAUUUUAGUUGUGUUCCAGGAUAUGGCUUGAAGAUGAGAUACGUAUUUUACAAGAUCACACGAGGCUGAAAUGAAACGCACGUGCCCUGAACACCAGUGCAUUGGCCCCGCGUCUGUGGGCUUGUGUGACUUUUGCUGGGGCUGGCCGAGGGUGGCUAGGCAGGGGGUUCCCACCACGCUUGGCUAGAUCAGAACCGCCACCGAGUCCUUUCCGACAUUCUGUGAGUGUUGGAUUCACAUUCACUUUCAACUUACCCUUUAUUAAAAGAUUCAUACUAAGUUACAGUUGAAAACCCUGUAUUGACUUCACUCAGAUAUGAAGUAGAAAACAUGAGUCCAGUGGAGACCUCCAUCAAAGAAAAUGUUAUCUGCCAGCCCUGAGAAUUAAGCUUUUCCUCAAGUCAUGCAACUGAAGCAACGUAGAAACAGUUGGAUGCCCAGGAAGGUUGAAGCCUGAGGCUGAUAUUCAUGGCCCCAUCCCACAUUUCUGUUUUUACAGACAGCCUCCUGGCUGUCCCUGAGGGUCACCUCACAGGACUGUUGUCGGUGUUACCUUUUCUCUCAUCCCAGUGCUGUGUUUUAUUUCUUUAAUAUUUAGUGAAGAUUUCCUUUGGAAAGAGACUUGUAAUGCUUAAUACAGUCGUGUGCAGCUCCUGUUUUCCAGUGUUGUCCCAUGCCUCGCCUGCCCAGGGCUGUCUGGUUGGGGCUGGGCCCUCUGCUGACUCGCCCCCUCCCCAGGGUGGUCUCUCCUCUCUCCUGGCUGCGUCCCUUCCUUGGAAUCCCCUUUUGUCUGGCCGUCCCAUCCGGGAGGUAGCAUCCUGACUCACCCUCUCCCUGGGGCAGCCUUUCCUCUUUGCGCCUUUCUGUGCCCUUCCUAGGAGUGCCUUCCUGUGGGGAGGUGGAGUCCUGGGGCUCCUAGAAUCACAGAAAGCCAUUGCAUCAUGGGUGGGUUCUUGGAGUCAGGGUCAGUGGAUGCUGUUAUUUUCCUGGCUACCAAGUUGGCUUCUGAAGGACAGAGAGAGAGAGGCAAGAUCCAAACCCCUGAGGCCCUUUACUACCAGGCCAUGAACUUGGAGGUUCACCAAGAGUGGUUUGGAGCCACCAAAGCCUUCAAAAUCGCAUGACCCAGCCCCUCUGCUGUCUGAAGAGACAGGUUGGUGCCCCGUGGCCGAGGGGCUGAAUGAGAGCCGUUGAGAAGCUGUUGUGGUAACAGGUGACAGGCGACCAGCACAGUGACUGCGGCAGCAGCUGUGGGGAACAUGCAGGGAAAAGGAAGGUUUAAAAAGCAGAAUUGAAAGGAACCAUCAGAUACCUGAAAGGGUGGACAGGGAGAGCCUCUUGGGCAGCCUGGCGUUGACCCUGCCCAUGGCGUCGGUCCCCAGGAGGCCUCUCAGGUUUCCAGUGCUCCGAGCCAGGCUGAGCUUUCAACCCUGCAGAAUGUUUUUAGAACAGGCCCCCCUCCCAGGCGCCCGGCAUUUGCGUCCCUGCACCACACCGCACAUCUGCGGUGAUUCAGAGGGAAGCGCUGGCUCUGCAAUCUCGCUCAUUCAGAAGCCCCGUCUCCCGAAGGGCUGCAUCGCCCACAAUUUUUCCCAUUGUGUGUGGAGUUGAGCUCCCCUCCCCCUCCCUGCCGUGUUCUGGGAUCACCCUGGGAGUCUAUUUGAAAUCCAGAAACUCCUGAAAGGCCUUAAGUAGCUAUUCAGCAGUGCGGAAAUGGCAGUGAGGAGGUUGCACGUGCAGCUCUAUUUUAGGACAUCCUGGUGGGCUCGUUCCUUGGCUGGGGCAGGUUGGGGUAGUCACCCUGGUCUUCAUUGCUCUGCCCUCUUGUCUCUCCC